UACAGAGGGGGCAAGCGUUAUUCGGAAUUAUUGGGCGUAAAGGGCGCGUAGGCGGCUUUUCAAGUGACGGGUGAAAUCCCUCGGCUUAACCGAGGAACUGCCUGUCAGACUGGGAGGCUUGAGACCGGGAGAGGUGAGUGGAAUCCCCAGUGUAGCGGUGAAAUGCGUAGAUAUUGGGAGGAACACCAGUGGCGAAGGCGGCUCACUGGACCGGUACUGACGCUGAUGCGCGAAAGCGUGGGGAGCAAACAGG
rnacentral:rRNA from 1 species